UGUGUGAGUUGUACAUUCUUUUAUAUUAUUCUAUUUAACCGACAAUCAAUGUUUUCAUUUUACACGCCACUGCUCAGAAAUUGUAUUUAUGUGAUUGUAUAUUUUGCUUUUACCUUAUGUAUCUUAUUUUUUGUUUAUUCAUGUUAAGCGCUUAGGGUAAUUUUUCAAAUUAUAUAAUGCGCUAUAUAAAUAUUGUAUAAUAAUAAUAAAUAAUAA
rnacentral:lncRNA from 1 species